rnacentral:rRNA from 1 species
UGGGGGAUAUUGCACAAUGGGGGGAACCCUGAUGCAGCGACGCCGCGUGGGUGAGGGAGUACUUCGGUAUGUAAAGCCCUAUCAGCAGGGAAGAAAAUGACGGUACCUGACUAAGAAGCCCCGGCUAACUACGUGCCAGCAGCCGCGGUAAUACGUAGGGGGCAAGCGUUAUCCGGAUUCACUGGGUGUAAAGGGGGCGCAGGCGGCACGGCAAGUCUGAUGUGAAAACCCGGGGCCCAACCCCGGGACUGCAUUGGAAACUACCGGGCUGGAGUACCGGAGGGGCAAGUGGAAUUCCUAGUGUAGCGGUGAAAUGCGUAGAUAUUAGGAGGAACACCAGUGGCGAAGGCGGCUUGCUGGACGGUAACUGACGCUGAGGCCCGAAAGCGUGGGGAGCAAACAGG